rnacentral:ribozyme from 1 species
UGUCCAGUAACUCCUAUCCCUAUCUCCCGGUGGUGCCACCAGGGAUACGAGUAACCUUAGGAAAGAUCGGGUAACCAACCCUGGUGGGACCUUGGUCGUAUGCUGACAGGGAAGG